rnacentral:rRNA from 1 species
GACGAACGCUGGCGGCGUGCUUAACACAUGCAAGUCGAACGGAAAGGCCUCUUUCGGGGGGUACUCGUGGGGCAAACGGGUGAAUAACACGUGAGUACCGUCCCCUUGACUUUGGUAUAACUUCAGAACACUGGGUCUAAUACCGUAUGGGACCUCCUGCUGCCGGGUGGGGGUGGGAACUUUUCGGCGGUUGGGGAUGGACUCGCGGCUUAUCAGCUUGUUGGUGGGGUAGUGGCUUACCAAGGCUUUGACGGGUAGCCGGCCUGAGAGGGUGACCGGCCACAUUGGGACUGAGAUACGGCCCAGACUCCUACGGGAGGCAGCAGUGGGGAAUAUUGCACAAUGGGUGGAAGCCUGAUGCAGCAACGCCGUGUGCGGGAUGACGGCCUUCGGGUUGUAAACCGCUUUCGCUCAUGACGAAGCUUUGUGUGACGGUAGUGGGUAAAGAAGCACCGGCUAACUACGUG